rnacentral:rRNA from 1 species
CCUACGGGUGGCUGCAGUAGGGAAUAUUGGACAAUGGGCGCAAGCCUGAUCCAGCCAUGCCGCGUGAGUGAAGAAGGCCCUCGGGUUGUAAAGCUCUUUUGUCCGGAAAGAAAAGCAAUCGGUUAAUACCCGGUUGUUCUGACGGUACCGGAAGAAUAAGCACCGGCUAACUUCGUGCCAGCAGCCGCGGUAAUACGAAGGGUGCAAGCGUUACUCGGAAUUACUUAGCGGAUACGUUAAGUCUGUUGUGAAAGCCCUGGGCUCAACCUGGGAAUGGCAUUGGAUACUGGCGGGCUAGAGUGCGGUAGAGGGUAGUGGAAUUCCCGGUGUAGCAGUGAAAUGCGUAGAGAUCGGGAGGAACAUCUGUGGCGAAGGCGACUGCCUGGACCAGCACUGACACUGAGGCACGAAAGCGUGGGGAGCAAACAGGAUUAGAUACCCUUGUAGUC